rnacentral:rRNA from 1 species
CAUUAUCGAAUCAAACUUGAAGCAGGUUGUUGCUGGCCGAGUGUGGCAUGUGCACGCUUGUUUCUCUUUUAUUUCUCCAACUGUGCACAAAUGUUUUUCACAACCUCUGAAUGUAUUAGAAUGGUUUGAAUCUGGGGAAUAUAUAUACAACUUUCAGCAACGGAUCUCUUGGCUCUCGCAUCGAUGAAGAACGCAGCGAAAUGCGAUAAGUAAUGUGAAUUGCAGAAUUCAGUGAAUCAUCGAAUCUUUGAACGCAUCUUGCGCUCCUUGGUAUUCCGAGGAGCAUGCCUGUUUGAGUGUCAUUUAAACUUCUCAACCGCUCCAAAUCUGUUUUGGAUGUGGCUUGGAAAUGGGGGAGUGGUUUUUGCAGGCUUUUUGUUAUGAAAGUCUGCUCCCCUGAAAUGCAUUAGUGGGCGACUGCCACAGGUGUGAUAACUAUCGACGCCUCGGUUAUAUGCUGCUGCUUCAAACCUUUUGAAAAUGACCAACUUGACCUCAAAUCAGGUAGGAUUACCCGCUGAACUUAAGCAUAUCAAUA